rnacentral:rRNA from 1 species
ACGAACGCUGGCGGCGUGCUUAACACAUGCAAGUCGAACGGAAAAGCCCUGCUCUUGUGGGGUGCUCGAGUGGCGAACGGGUGAGUAACACGUGAGUAAACUGCACUUGUCUUUGGGAUAACUUCAGGAAACAGGGGCUAAUACCGGAUAGGAGCUCUUGCUGCACGGUGGGGGUUGGUAAGUUUCGGCUGUGGGGGCUGGACUCGCGGCUUAUCCGCUUGUUUGUGGGGUAGUGGCUUACCAAGGCUUUGACGGGUAGCCGGCCUGCGAGGGUGACCGGGCACAAUGGGACUGAGAUACGGCGCAGACUCCUACGGGAGGCAGCAGUGGAGAAUAUUGCGCAAUAGGCGGAAGCCUGAUACAGCAACGCCGCGAGCGGGAUGACGGCCUUCGAGUUAUAAACCGCUUUCGCCUGUGACGAAGCGGGAUUGACGGUAAUGGGUAAGAAAGCACCGGCUAACUACGUG